rnacentral:lncRNA from 1 species
AUAGGCAUUACGUCGCACACAACUUCGUCUUGAUACUUACCGAUAGAAAAGGCGAUGUGCACUUGUUGAGUGACCCUAAAUUGGCCUUUGUUGCUAAGCCCUUGUAGUUGAUAAGGUUGUGGAUGCUUGGUAGUGGUUAAGCAAAGCUUUUCCACCAUCGUCGUGCUGGCUAUGUUCGAGCAACUUUCACCAUCAAUAAUAACUCUACAAAGCUUACCUUGUACAUGGCAACGAGUAUGAAAGAGAUGUUCUCGUUGCUGCUCGCUCUUUGGUUUUGCCAAAUGAUACAGCCACGCUUCAAGUCCAACCUAGCUCGAGCAAGGAGCCUUUGGAGCUUCCUCAAGGUCCAAUCACCCGAUCACGAGCUAAACAAUUCAAGGAGGCUGUUUCAGCCUUAGUAGAUCAAGUUUGGGGCGAGACUUUGGUUGGACGCAUUGACGAAGCUUGGACAAACUCGAUGAGCCUUCCUUGCACUUUAAUACGAGCUGAAUUAACUUCCAUUUCAAGCUCAAUGAGCUCGAACUAGUUCAAUUUCAUUAAGACCUUAUUAUAGUAGCUGAAAUAAUUAUUUGAGUCAUUUAAUUAGUUUAUUACAGCUCAAUUAAUAUUCAUUAUUUAUUUGGUUUAAAAUCUGGACAAAUUUAAUUAUGCAUGAUAAUUGAGUUAUAAUUAUAUGUUAUUAAUUUGUCUUAAUUUCUACAGCUCAUUAAUAUGUUUUUUUUAUGCAUGUUUUAAUGUGUCAAUUUUAUUACAUGUUUUAAUUAUGUCCUAAGGUGGCCGAAUUUAAUGUGCAUAAUUUUUGUGUCAUUUGCUGCCAAAUUAAUGUGUUUAAAAAUGUAUUUGAUUUAUUGAAUAAAUUUUGCUGUAGGUACAUCCCAUUUGGACGUCCUUGGUGCAUGAAUGAAUUAAAAGAAGAUACAUGUAAGGGGACGGCACAUGCAUGUUUGGGGAAUUAAAUUUGGCUGCUGUUUGAAGUAUCCUAGGUGACCAUUCGGCCAAAGAAGCUAUUGUUUCCUACUCCCAAGUUGACCAUUCAGCCGACUUUUAAUUCUUUUCACAUUGCUGGAUUCAUCUUGGCUGUUCGGUUCUAUAUGUUCACAUAUUUGACUCUUCAAAACUGACUUUUCACACUUGUGUGGCUGUUCAACAACUAUCUUUAAUGUUCCUAUCUUUUCAGCCAACAAGUGCCAAUUUAAGGAGUAAUUUAAGAGCAAGGCCGAACCUGGACAAGACCAUUGAUCUACCGAUGCAUUCAUCUUUGCCAGGUGCAUUUGCUUCAUGCUUAAGCUGCCCAUUUGAAUGCCCAUUCAGCCGAAUCUUAUGGAGGAAUUAAUUCUGGAAUUUUCUUGAUUUUUCUUAGCUUUUAAGUUUGCCUAUUCGGCUAGCCUUUGAAGAACUAUAAAUAUUUGUUUGUUCAUUUGUAAAAGGGACUUUUGGACAUUUUAAUUAGCGAAUUGCUGCCAAAUUUGUGAGGCAUUUUCUCUCAAAUUUCGUUCGAGACCCGUAAGACUUAUCUAAGCUUUUAGUGGCGUCUUUCCGAGUCUUUUCUGAACUUAUCACUCCUUAAACCCGAGUGUGGCGUUCACCUUUGAUACCUUUGGUUCAUACUUUCCUAAGUAUCGGGUCAAGGUCCUUUUCAACCAUUUCCAAUUCAUUUAGGUCCUAUAAGUUUCGGGUCGACACUUUUCUUUAGUGUUGGUUCAUUCUUGACCUCUUUGAACCAUAACCAAUUCGUACCAAAUACCAUACUAUUUCAUACCCAUUCCAUACCAUUUCGUACCAAUUCCCAAAUACCAAAACGUACCAAAACCAAAUACCAUUUCUUAAUUAUCCUAAACCGAACUCUUCCAUUCUAUUCAUACCAUUUCGACUUAAACCAAAUCCACAUCCAACUUUGUACGAACUUAUCUUACUUCUUUGUACACAAAUAUAUUCUAACUCCUUCUCGUCUAAUCUACUUCUUCAUUUACGAUCGGGAACUAAACGACUCGGACUCAACUACUAAACCGAGAUCGUAUCACCAAAGAUGAUUGUCCACGAUCAGGAAAAUCAUCAUCCAUUCUAGUGACACGUCGAGGGCCGCGCCUCUGGGGUUGGUUAUCCCAAUCUUCUUUGAUUGGAUCUCGAUAUUGAGGUUCUUGAUUCAAUCGCACCUCAUUGAUGGUAGCAGUCAAAGCUCGAAGAGCAGCAGCCUGUUCAUCCAACUGUUGUCGGAAUUUUUUAAAUAUGUUACUAUUAUUAUCACCUGUAGACAUUUUUUUUAAAACCUGCAAAACACUCAACACUCAAAAAUAAAAGUUAUAAAACCUCACCAUUAAUCACUCAAAAAGAAAAAAUCAAAUUCUCAAUGAGGUCGAAUUCAAUCUUGUGAGUUCUUUAUCAGAGUUUAUAUCAACCAAUUAGAGAGUGUGAACCAAACUACCAAAGAAUCCUAAUUUGCACUAGGAUGCCAAAAAUUGACGAGACUCCAAUUGAUUCGUGUUGCACCGAGGAAGAAGUUGUGCACACGUUUAAAUACUACUAACACAAGAAACAAGACGGUGUUAGAUAACGUAAAGGAAGAAUAAAGGUAAACAAAUGAAAACCUACAGCUAAGAAUCAAUAAAAAUUGCUGAAAACAGAAAACCUGAAAAACUGCGGAGUAACUUGACAACUUCGUUUGAGGUGUUCCCGAUCUCCAAAAAUCACGAAAUUAAAUCUUGAGUGUCCUUAUAUAUUGAAAUUUUGAUCUGGAAAUUUUGGGCACCAAAUUCAACCCGCUGAAUCUUUUUUAAAAUUUUUUUUGAAUUUCGUAUUUUUUGAUUUUUUUGACUUUUUUGCCUGAUUUUUUUGCGGAAUAAUUUUUUUAUAUUCAAUCACAGUGCCAAAAACAUGUAUGUAAAAUUUCAGAUCAAUCAGAAAACGUUUACCCACUCAAAUGAAUUUUUUUUGAACAAUUUUUCUGGGUAAAACUGCUGUUUAUGCUUUAAAAAAUAGAGAUCAGUUUAGAAAUCAACCAAGAACACCCAAAACGCCCAAAAUCUGAUACCAAAUGAUAUAGAGUUGCGAGCGGACCAAGAUCGAGUUGCCAAGUCACGGGAAACUCCUACGAAAGCUCUAAACGAACAUAUCUGAAAUCAAACAAAGAACGAGAUUAAAUCUGGAAAAUUAAAAUCUGGAAUAAGAACCCUAAAAAUCAGCAAGAUCUAAUCAAGGAACGAAACACUUAUGACAGAGGUUUCUUGAAACCAAGAACACGAAAUUGAUUCCCAAGAAUGAACUCCUACAAGCCGAAUCUGUCAAAGAACACCAAAUCAGCAAGCAAAUUAGAUCGACCAGAAUUUCUUGAAACAAAUUAGGGUUUAUGCGUCAAUGAGAAAGAAAGAAAUUGAAGGCAUAAAACGGCUAUUGAGGCUGAGAAAGCGAGGGCGAUCUGCUCAAUUGACCACCACGAAAGUUUCCCCUAAGUUUCCACAACCAAAUUCACCCAAGAAGAAUAAGUGUGCAUUCGGCAAGAACCCUAGAAUUUGGGGAUUUAGGGCUGAUUGUCGAACUCCAGCAAAAAGUGAAAUUGAUCAAUUCUUUAAGAUAAACGAGGGCUGGAAACACAAAUAAAACAGCAAAUAGAUUAGAAUUAAGAUUCGGCACAAGUAGAAUUAAAUAAAAGAAAUUGAACAGCAAAAAUUAAAGGAGAAGUCCUAAAGAUCCUUGAAAUCCCGAAAGAUUUCACAAAUCUCUUCAAACGGCUCUAAUCUCCCCUCCAAAGAAUAUCGAUGGCAAGAAGAAGGUUGAAGAUGGCUCCCACAAUCAAAAGAUUGUUAAAACAACUUCUAAAGAAAGCUCAAGAGAGAAUUCUUGGAGAAAACCCCAAAGAAAAUUCUGCACUCUAACAAACUGAAAUUUAAUGUAUUGAAUGAUAAUAAGAUGUUUUUACAAAGGGUGGCUGGCCAAUGCUUAUAUAGGCCUCCAACAAAUCCUAAUCUCACAAGUAACUAAUAAAAAAUUAAACCUAAUUAAUAAAAUAACAAGGUAAAUUCGGCCAUGCACUUAUAUGGGCUGUUUUGGGCCGAAUUUUACAUGUCAUGCUCCUAAAGAUUAAAAAAUUAAAUUAAACAAGUAAGAUGUUUACAAAUUGGGCCCUUUGACAUUUUGGCCUGAUUUUCAACCAAGUAUGAAGAAAUUUCUUGAUUGGGCUGGAUUUUGGUUAUUGGGCCUCGCCUUCAAGAAUUUGGGCUCGUGAUCCAUCUCCUACCAAAAUUGGGUCGUUGACGCUCGUAAUGGAGAUCCAAUGCAUUUUGGCUGCAAGAUUUGGUUUCUUGGACCAAGAUUUCCAAGAUUUGAAAUCUUGAUUUUCUUGAUUCUUGAAAUCUCUUCGAACAGCAAAAUUGGGCCAAGAUUCGAUUUCUUGAUUUUCUUGAAAACAAGAAAGUGAAUCUUGAUUUUCUUGUUCUCUCGUGUAUGCAUCUAAGGCCUUGCUAACAAGCUCUUGAAUGGUCCCAUUUAGUUUGGACCGCAUUUGUCGGGCCUUUGAUCUCGUUAUUGGGCCUUGUGGCAAUUUGAGCCCAUCACGUUCUUGAACUUGGAUUGGGCCUUUAUGACUCGUGUCAUUUUAUCAAUAAUUUUCAAAUCUGCACUGGACUUGGUUUCUAAAAUUUCCUUACCUCGCUUACCUUCGGGAUCAUGUAGUGUGAUUUCAUCUUUGCCUAAGUUGAUCGUAUGAAAGCGUCUUUCAUUUGAGAGGUAUUGAAGUUGAAAGUUAUCUUUCGAUCUUUCGGGAACCUGAAAAGUAGCAACACAAGAAAAAUUCAUAUCUUGGUUAGUGGAAACAUUCCUCACUACCCUUUCCACGUCUUUUUCUUUUGUUUCUUUUUCUAAUUCAUUUUCUCUUCUUUCUUCAAUUUCUUUUUCACUCUCAAUCUCUUUUUGCUCUUUUUCAUUCUCUUUUUCUUUUUCCUCACUUUUUUUAAUAGAAGUUUUCAGUUUGAUUUGGUCCUCAUGGACUUGUUCCGGAGUGAGCGGCACUAAGGUGAGUUUCUUUCCUUGAUGCUUGAAAGAAUACCUAUUGGUACGAUCAUCGUGAGUGACUUUUCGAUCCAGUUGCCAUGGUUCUCCUAGCAACAAAUGGCAGGCUUGAAUAGGCAUUACGUCACACACAACUUCGUCUUGAUACUUACCGAUAGAAAAGGCGAUGUGCACUUGUUGAGUAACCCUAAAUUGGCCUUUGUUGCUAAGCCCUUGUAGUUGAUAAGGUUGUGGAUGCUUGGUAGUGGUUAAGCAAAGCUUUUCCACCAUCGUCGUGCUGGCUAUGUUCGAGCAACUUUCACCAUCAAUAAUAACUCUACAAAGCUUACCUUGUACAUGGC